rnacentral:rRNA from 1 species
CCUACGGGAGGCAGCAGUGAGGAAUAUUGGUCAAUGGGCGUAAUCCUGAACCAGCCAAGCCGCGUGAGGGAUGACGGCUCUAUGGUUUGUAAACCUCUUUUGUACGGGAAUAAAGUCCGGGACGCGUCCCGCUUCGCAUGUACCUUAUGAAUAAGGAUCGGCUAACUCCGUGCCAGCAGCCGCGGUAAUACGGAGGAUCCGAGCGUUAUCCGGAUUUAUUGGGUUUAAAGGGUGCGUAGGCGGCCUGUUAAGUUAGCGGUGAAUGUUUGUGGCUCAACCCCAGUAUUGCCGUUGAAACUGGCAGACUUGAGUAUGCUUGAGGUAGGCGGAAUGCGCGGUGUAGCGGUGAAAUGCAUAGAUAUCACGCAGAACCCCGAUUGCGAAGGCAGCGUACCAACCCCUGACUGACGCUGAGGCACGAAAGCGUGGGGAUCGAACAGGAUUAGAUACCCUUGUAGUC